rnacentral:tRNA from 1 species
UCCUUUGUGGUGCAUUGGUCAGCACGCUCGACGCGUAACCGAGAGGUCCAUGGUUCGAUUCCCGGCGAAGGCU